rnacentral:rRNA from 1 species
GAACUGGGCUAUCCCGAUAGUGAGACGCCUGAUGUCUCUCACCCAAGGACGUGAAACCAUGCUUUCGGCGUGCCUAGGGAUGGAGCCGCGGCCGAUCAGGUUGUUGGUGAGGUAACGGCUCACCAAGCCUAUAACCGGUACGGGCCAUGAGAGUGGGAGCCCGGAGAUGGGCACUGAGACAAGGGCCCAGGCCCUACGGGGCGCAGCAGUUGCGAAACCUCCACAAUGCACGAAAGUGCGAUGGGGCUAACCCGAGUGCCGUCCGCUGAGGAGGGCUUUUCUCCGCUGUAAGGAGGCGGAGGAAUAAGGAGAGGGCAAGACUGGUGUCAGCCGCCGCGGUAAUACCAGCUCUCCGAGUGGUAGGGACGAUUAUUGGGCCUAAAGCGUUCGUAGCCGGCUUGGCAAGUCUUUCGUUAAAUCCAGUGACCUAAUCGCUGGGCUGCGGGAGAUACUGUCAGGCUUGGGAGCGGAAGAGGUCGACGGUAUUCUCGGGGUAGGGGUGAAAUCCUGUAAUCCCGGGAGGACCACCAGUGGCGAAGGCUGUCGACUAGAACGCGUCCGACGGUGAGGGACGAAAGCUGGGGGAGCGAACCGGAUUAGAUACCCGGGUAGUCCCAGCUGUAAACUAUGCGGGCUAGGUGUCAGUGUGGCUACGAGCCACUCUGGUGCCGCAGGGAAGCUCAUAAGCCCGCCGCCUGGGAAGUACG